CACGCGCCAAAAGCCGGGUUGGGCUCACCAAACGCCGGCGAGAAUAGGGACGAGGUGAGGUGCAAGAGGCGUAUCCUGCAGUGGUUAAGCGAGCUGAUAGAGAGCCGGCGGCGGCGGCUUGGUUAGGAAGGUAGUCGGCGCCGGCUCGGUUAGGAAGGGAGUCGGCGGGAGGUAAGGAGCGUAGUGCAGAGGUGCGCGAUGCACCCGCCGUAAGACGAUCCGGUUGGUAGUCGGCACUUCUUGUGUCUGCAGAUUACCGCGGCGUCGAGGACCCGAUGAUGACCCAGAGGAGGACCGGGGCCGAGGGCGUCCAAGGGGGCACCGGGACGCGUAGGGUGCGGGUAGCGGCCCACUAUACGAAACCCGGCGGGGCGACGGCGCGGCCGCGUCAGUCCCACAAUCGCCUCCACCUGGGACGCGACCGGGACCUGGCGCCACGCUUCCGCAACCUUUAGGUCAAAGGCUGACUCCUCCUGCCACACCCCUUACUCCUUCUGCCGCUCCGUCACCUGCUCUCCCUCUACUACUCCGCCUACGCCUAUAGCGUCCGCUUGUUCCCCUUAUGCGGCACCUUGUUCCCGUCCUUCGUGUCGGGUCUCUGCGAGGUCGCCUAAGCCCUCUCCUGUGCCGAACGAUACGUCUUGGGGUUCCAAUUCUUUUUCGACUACUUAGAGCCUGUACGAGUCUCACUUCUCUGGUUUUAAUUCUAUAGUAACCCUCACUCCGCACCCACCUCGAACGCAGAUGUCUUCGAUUACCAAGUCCUACCGACGAAACACCUCACCGCCCUUUACUAUCGUCUACGUCGAUCCUUCCCGAAACGACCACCUCAACGGAAGGUUACCUUAAGUGUAUUUUAUAACUGACUCGUUGACGCCGUCCUUACCAACCUCUUUCAGGUCGUUUCUUCUAGUUACGGAUCCGGCUGUCCAUUAUCUUCUCGCGGUUUUUGAGGUCUCGUCUCCUCUUUUUAACGUCUUCGGUAACGACGCUUCACCAACCUAGCUCUUAUGGCACUUGCACAAACGUCACGUUAAUUAUCGAUAGUACCUUGUAGAAGACCUAGAUUUCAUGGCGCAUUUGUUUCUUGAGGCUCUCUUGGUCCACGUUUCGCACUUUUUUUCUUUAGAUAAGUUGUGUCUCGACAGUCGUACCUGCUACGUGUACGUUUUUGACGAGGCCAAUUCUCUUUCUUUUCACGUUGAGGAAUGUUUCUAGGAUACCGUCCACUCUUUGAUCUCUACUAUUGCUUCUAAGCUCGGGUUUCCUGUCGUGACCUUUAUCUCUUCUUUCUCCGAUAACUUUCUCGGUCCAGUGAGUAACAUCUUCGGCUCUUUCGACGUUUACGAGAACUCGGACAACGUCGCUUUUAAGGUAAACGAGUUCGUAGUGAAUAUCUUCGAUCUUUCGAACAAUGUCUCCGUUCUUACAGUGAGCUUCCACAACUACUAUUACUACCCGGUCGUCUUUCAAGAAGACUACUAUGUAACCUACUGAGUCCACAUAGCCUUGACGUGUUCAACCUCUUAGUUUUACUGGGAUAAUUUGUUCUCUUAUUUAGACAUUUACCUUACUUCAAUGGAGGUUCCUGACAAUUACCGUACCUAAAGAUAAAACUACACAGACGUGAUCCACUUUUCCUUGUUGAGUCAUACAAAGUCUCCUAUCUCUUGAGGUACCUUUCUCGAAUAAACGAAGGAAGUCGAAAAAGUUGUCGAGUUCUACACUUGCCUUUAGAACCUUGUUUACUAGAUAUAUAGUCACUCGUUCACCAGUUAUUGCUGGUCUAGCUGGCCUAACGUCGUCUAUGUUGUCUUAAAUAAAGUCGUCUCGGUGAUCUCUUACACAGGAGUGGACGAUUAUUCAGAUUCUACUCUACCCAUGCACCUUCUGAUCAACUUCCUCUUCUUAUUUGAUCCUCCAGAUUCCUCAGUUUAGAAGCCCUCUGAGUAGUAGGCUUUUACGAAUCUAAACGAAGGUAAGACGGUCCUAGACGUUAAACGUUGUCCCUUUACGUUAUGAACCUUCGUCUACGAGCAACAAUAGAUUGACCACACCUGCCCUAACUAACCCUACGUAAAUAACAACCAUACAAGGAGGGACCUUCUUUAACCGUUCGUAAGGUCCCUUGCCGGAAGACUACUCGUAACAUUAAUCAUCAACCCUGAAAUCUUUAACGGGAGCCCACAUCAGACAAAAUCCUCUUGACUGAUAUUUAGUACUAAUUCUGCUAUAUAAAUACCUUACGUUAAGGGGAGACGGGCACAAAUAAUCCGGG
rnacentral:rRNA from 1 species